UAGAGAUAGGGCUUUCCCUUCGGGGACAGAGUGACAGGUGGUGCAUGGUUGUCGUCAGCUCGUGUCGUGAGAUGUUGGGUUAAGUCCCGCAACGAGCGCAACCCUUGAUCUUAGUUGCCAGCAUUUAGUUGGGCACUCUAAGGUGACUGCCGGUGACAAACCGGAGGAAGGUGGGGAUGACGUCAAAUCAUCAUGCCCCUUAUGACCUGGGCUACACACGUGCUACAAUGGACAGAACAAAGGGCUGCGAGACCGCAAGGUUUAGCCAAUCCCACAAAUCUGUUCUCAGUUCGGAUCGCAGUCUGCAACUCGACUGCGUGAAGCUGGAAUCGCUAGUAAUCGCGGAUCAGCAUGCCGCGGUGAAUACGUUCCCGGGCCUUGUACACACCGCCCGUCACACC
rnacentral:rRNA from 1 species